rnacentral:miRNA from 1 species
ACUCCUUACCCCUGGCCGUC